CGCCGCGCUAAACAUGCAGUCGUACGAGAAGUCCUGGGCAACUGGGAAAGUAAAGUGGCGCACGGGUGAGUAACGCGUGGGUAACCUACCCUUGAAUUGGGGAUAACUCUUCGAAAGGGGAGUUAAUACCGAAUAAUAUUUCAAUUCCUAAGGGAGUUGAAAUCAAAGGUGGCCUCUUCAUGAAAGCUAUCGUUUAAGGAUGGGCCCGCGUACCAUUAGCUAGUUGGUAGGGUAAUGGCCUACCAAGGCAACGAUGGUUAGCUGGUCUGAGAGGAUGGCCAGCCACACUGGAACUGAGACACGGUCCAGACUCCUACGGGAGGCAGCAGUGGGGAAUUUUGCGCAAUGGGGGAAACCCUGACGCAGCAACGCCGCGUGAGUGAAGAAGGCCUUCGGGUUGUAAAGCUCUGUCUAGUGGAAAAAAACUCCUGGUGUAAAUAGCGCCAGGAUCUGAUGGUACCGCUGGAGGAAGCACCGGCUAACUCCGUGCCAGCAGCCGCGGUAAUACGGAGGGUGCAAGCGUUGUUCGGAAUUAUUGGGCGUAAAGGGCGUGUAGGCGGUUUGGUAAGUCAGAUGUGAAAGCCUUCUGCUUAACAGAAGAAGUGCAUUUGAAACUGCUUGGCUAGAGUACGGGAGAGGAGAGUGGAAUUCCCGGUGUAGAGGUGAAAUUCGUAGAUAUCGGGAGGAACACCAGUGGCGAAGGCGGCUCUCUGGUCCGAUACUGACACUGAGACGCGAAAGCGUGGGGAGCAAACAGGAUUAGAUACCCUGGUAGUCCACGCCGUAAACGAUGGGCACUAGGUGUAGGAAGGUAUUGACCCCUUCUGUGCCGAAGCUAACGCAUUAAGUGCCCCGCCUGGGGAGUACGGCCGCAAGGCUA
rnacentral:rRNA from 1 species